rnacentral:rRNA from 1 species
GACGAACGCUGGCGGCGUGCCUAAUACAUGCAAGUCGAACGCAUUUUCUUUCACCGUAGCUUGCUACACCGAAAGAAAAUGAGUGGCGAACGGGUGAGUAACACGUGGGCAACCUGCCCAUCAGCGGGGGAUAACACUUGGAAACAGGUGCUAAUACCGCAUAAUUCCAUUUACCGCAUGGUAGAGGGAUGAAAGGCGCUUUUGCGUCACUGAUGGAUGGACCCGCGGUGCAUUAGCUAGUUGGUGGGGUAACGGCCUACCAAGGCUGCGAUGCAUAGCCGACCUGAGAGGGUGAUCGGCCACACUGGGACUGAGACACGGCCCAGACUCCUACGGGAGGCAGCAGUAGGGAAUCUUCGGCAAUGGACGCAAGUCUGACCGAGCAACGCCGCGUGAGUGAAGAAGGGUUUCGGAUCGUAAAACUCUGUUGUUAGAGAAGAACAAGGAUGAGAGUGGAAAGUUCAUCCCUUGACGGUAUCUAACCAGAAAGCCACGGCUAACUACGUG